rnacentral:tRNA from 1 species
GUCCAGGGAUGGGAAUCGAACCCACUGUGUUCCACUUACCGGGCAGAUGCCAUGUCCACUAGGCUACCCUGGA